UACGGAGGAUGCAAGUGUUAUCCGGAAUCACUGGGCGUAAAGCGUCUGUAGGUGGUUUGCUAAGUCCGCUGUUAAAGCUUGAAGCUCAACUUCAAAAAUGCAGCGGAAACUAGUAGACUUGAGUGUGGUAGGGGUAGAGGGAAUUUCCAGUGAAGUGGUGAAAUGCGUAGAUAUCGGGAGGAACACCGGUGGCGAAGGCGGUUCUCUGGGCCUUACCUGACGCUGAGGAGCGAAAGCGUGGGGAGCGAACAGG
rnacentral:rRNA from 1 species